rnacentral:piRNA from 1 species
AGGCUGAGAACCACUGCUUUAGGAAAUUG